rnacentral:rRNA from 1 species
UAUCUCUGUAGAGUCUGCAUAUCAAUAAGCGGAGGAAAAGAAACUAACAAGGAUUCCCUUAGUAACGGCGAGUGAAGCGGGAAGAGCUCAAAUUUGAAAUCUUCAAGGUUCUACCUUGACGAAUUGUAGUUUAAAGAAGUGUUUUCUGUUAGAUGAGUAGCAAAAGUUCCUUGGAAUGGGACAUCAUAGAGGGUGAGAAUCCCGUAUUUGGUUAUUCAUUCUAGCUUUGUGAUACACUUUCAAAGAGUCGGAUUGUUUGGGAAUGCAGUCCAAAAUGGGUGGUAAAUUUCAUCUAAAGCUAAAUAUUGGCGAGAGACCGAUAGCGUACAAGUACCGUGAGGGAAAGAUGAAAAGAACUUUGAAAAGAGAGUUAAACAGUACGUGAAAUUGUCAAAAGGGAAGCGUUUGACACCAGUGUUGUUUUUCCGAAAAUCAAUUACAAAAUGGCUUGAUUUUGUGUUGUAUUGACCUUAUCAGCUUUCUUCACUUUUUUCGAGUCUUUCUUAAUGCACUUUUGGUUGACAAGUCAACAUCAAUUUCUUUUGUUGUAAAAGAGUAUUCGGAAGGUGGCUUUCUUUUCGGAGAAAGUGUUUAUAGCCCUAUACUUCUACAAUCGGAGAGAUUGAGGUCUGCAGCGUAGAUCCUUCGGGGUUAGAUACACUUGUGCUAAGUUGUAGCUUUUCAUAGACAACUUGUUGACUAUGUUUAGUCAUGCGGCUUACUCGCUUGUGCUAUUUUACCUACGCUUAGGAUGUUGAUCUGUAGUGCGUGCGC